rnacentral:rRNA from 1 species
AGGGUGAACGGCUGGCGGCGUGCCUAACACAUGCAAGUCGAGCGGUGCAGUUUGAAGCUUCGGUGGAAAGCUGCAUAGCGGCGGACGGGUGAGGAAAACGUAGGAACGUGCCCCUUGGAGUUGGAUAGCCACGGGAAACUGUGGGUAAACCGACAUAGACUCGAGAGAGUAAAGGCCGAAAGGCGCCAAGGGAGCGGCCUGCGGCCCAUCAGGUAGUUGGUAGUGUAAAGGACUACCAAGCCGACGACGGGUAGCCGGUCUGAGAGGAUGGCCGGCCACAAGGGCACUGAGAGACGGGCCCUACUCCUACGGGAGGCAGCAGUGGGGGAUUUUGGACAAUGGGCGAAAGCCUGAUCCAGCGACGCCGCGUGGAGGACGAAGCCCUUCGGGGUGUAAACUCCUUUUCUCAGGGAAAAAGGAUGAUGGUACCUGAGGAAUAAGCCCCGGCUAACUACGUG